rnacentral:rRNA from 1 species
GACGAACGCUGGCGGCGUGCCUAACACAUGCAAGUCGAACGGAGAUAUAAUUUCGGUUAUAUCUUAGUGGCGAACGGGUGAGUAACGCGUGAGCAACCUGACCUUCAGAGGGGGAUAACACUUGGAAACAGGUGCUAAUACCGCAUAAGACCACGACCCGACAUCGGGAUGAGGUCAAAGGAGCAAUCCGCUGAGGGAGGGGCUCGCGUCCCAUUAGAUAGAUGGCGGGGUAACGGCCCACCAUGUCGACGAUGGGUAGCCGAGCUGAGAGGCUGAUCGGCCACACUGGAACUGAGACACGGUCCAGACUCCUACGGGAGGCAGCAGUGGGGAAUAUUGGGCAAUGGGCGCAAGCCUGACCCAGCAACGCCGCGUGAGGGAAGAAGGCCUUCGGGUUGUAAACCUCUGUCCUUGGUGACGAAACAAAUGACGGUAGCCAAGGAGGAAGCCCCGGCUAACUACGUGCCAGCCGCCGCGGUAA